AGGGUGAGGAAUAGAUAGGAACGUACCCUGUGCUCUGGGAUAGCGUCUGAAGCUUCGGCUUCUUCCGAAAGGGGCGGUAAUACCAGAUAAUGUCCUUCGGGACCAAAGAUUUAUCGGCAUUGGAGCGGCCUAUCUCCUAUCAGCUUGUUGGUGAGGUAACGGCUCACCAAGGCAACGACGGGUAGCGGGACUGAGAGGUUGGCCCGCCACAUCGGGACUGAGACACUGCCCGGACCUCCACGGAGGGCUGCAGUAACGGAUAUUGGGCAAUGGGCGAAAGCCUGACCCAGCAAUGCCGCGUGCAGGAUGAAGCCCCUAGGGGUGUAAACUGCUGUCAGGGGUCAGAAAGCUGGUUUCGGCCAGUUGAUCAACCCCAGAGGAAGUCACGGCUAACUUCGUGCCAGCAGCCGCGGUAAUACGAAGGUGGCAAGCGUUAUUCGGAAUCAUUGGGCUUAAAGGGCACGCAGGCGGAACAGUGUGUGUUGUGUGAAAUCCCCCGGCUUAACCGGGGAAUUGCACAGCAAACUGCUGUUCUUGAGGCAGGUAGGGGUGCAUGGAACUCUUGGUGGAGCGGUGGAAUGCGUAGAUAUCAAGAGGAACGCCAGAGGUGAAGACGGUGCACUGGGCCUGUCCUGACGCUGAGGUGCGAAAGCGUGGGGAGCGAACGGGAUUAGAUACCCCGGUAGUCCACGCCGUAAACGAUGUCUACUAGGUCGUGGGUGUUCUGACACAUUCACGGCCGGAGCAAAAGUGUUUAGUAGACCGCCUGGGGAGUACGGCCGCAAGGUUAAAACUCAAAUGAAUUGACGGGGGCUCACACAAGCGGUGGAGCAUGUGGAUUAAUUCGAAGCAACGCGCAGAACCUUACCUGGGUUUGACAUGCUUGUAUGCCUUCUCUGAAAGGAGUUAGGCUGCCUUCGGGUGAAACUUGCACAGGUGCUGCAUGGCUGUCGUCAGCUCGUGUCGUGAGAUGUCGGGUUAAG
rnacentral:rRNA from 1 species